rnacentral:rRNA from 1 species
UACGUAGGGGGCAAGCGUUGUCCGGAAUCAUUGGGCGUAAAGAGCGUGUAGGCGGCCAGACAGGUCCGUUGUGAAAACUCGAGGCUCAACCUCGAGAUGUCGAUGGAAACCGUCUGGCUAGAGUCCGGAAGAGGAGUGUGGAAUUCCUGGUGUAGCGGUGAAAUGCGCAGAUAUCAGGAGGAACACCGGUGGCGAAGGCGGGUCUCUGGGCUGACACUGACGCUCAUGCACGAAAGCGUGGGGAGCAAACAGG